rnacentral:rRNA from 1 species
GGGGGAAAGUGCUCCCCCCCGGGGGACGCUUGGGGUAGCCGACCUGGGGGGGGUGUUUGGCCCACCACGGGGAAUGAAACCCCGGCCCCAGAUUUCUUGGGGGAGGCCACCAUUAGGAAUUCUUCCGCAAUGGACGAAAGUCUGACGGAGCAACGCCGCGUGAGUGAUGAAGGUUUUCGGAUCGUAAAAGCUCUGUUGUUAGGGAAGAACAAGUGCGAGAGUAACUGCUCGCACCUUGACGGUACCUAACCAGAAAGCCACGGCUAACUACGUGCCAGCAGCCGCGGUAAUACGUAGGUGGCAAGCGUUGUCCGGAAUUAUUGGGCGUAAAGGGCUCGCAGGCGGUUUCUUAAGUCCUGAUGUGAAAGCCCCCGGCUCAACCGGGGAGGGUCAUUGGAAACUGGGAAACUUGAGUGCAGAAGAGGAGAGUGGAAUUCCACGUGUAGCGGUGAAAUGCGUAGAGAUGUGGAGGAACACCAGUGGCGAAGGCGACUCUCUGGUCUGUAACUGACGCUGAGGAGCGAAAGCGUGGGGAGCGAACAGGAUUAGAUACCCUGGUAGUCCACGCCGUAAACGAUGAGUGCUAAGUGUUAGGGGGUUUCCGCCCCCUUAGUGCUGCAGCUAACGCAUUAAGCACUCCGCCUGGGGAGUACGGUCGCAAGACUGAAACUCAAAGGAAUUGACGGGGGCCCGCACAAGCGGUGGAGCAUGUGGUUUAAUUCGAAGCAACGCGAAGAACCUUACCAGGUCUUGACAUCCUCUGACAACCCUAGAGAUAGGGCUUUCCCUUCGGGGACAGAGUGACAGGUGGUGCAUGGUUGUCGUCAGCUCGUGUCGUGAGAUGUUGGGUUAAGUCCCGCAACGAGCGCAACCCUUGAUCUUAGUUGCCAGCAUUCAGUUGGGCACUCUAAGGUGACUGCCGGUGACAAACCGGAGGAAGGUGGGGAUGACGUCAAAUCAUCAUGCCCCUUAUGACCUGGGCUACACACGUGCUACAAUGGACAGAACAAAGGGCUGCAAGACCGCAAGGUUUAGCCAAUCCCAUAAAUCUGUUCUCAGUUCGGAUCGCAGUCUGCAACUCGACUGCGUGAAGCUGGAAUCGCUAGUAAUCGCGGAUCAGCAUGCCGCGGUGAAUACGUUCCCGGGCCUUGUACACACCGCCCGUCACACCACGAGAGUUUGCAACACCCGAAGUCGGUGAGGUAACCUUUAUGGAGCCAGCCGCCGAAGGUGGUCAGAUAUUGU